rnacentral:lncRNA from 1 species
ACCUUUCCUUUACUUUUAUUUUUCCUUUUAAUUAUUUAAAAUGCACAAUAGUAUUAUAGUCAUUUUAACAAAGUCAUAGGCACGUAGAUUUAGGGCCAGACCGACUACUCCAAGAGCGCUCAUCCAUAAACCGAUUACUGGUACAAAUAACAUAAAGAAAUGUAACCAACAUUUAUUGGAAAAAGCAACCCCAAAGAUUUGGGACCAAAAGCAAUUAGCGGUGACCAUUGAAUAAGUUUCUUCAGCUUGAGUUGGGUUAAAGCGCGGAAUGUAUUUGCACCAUCACCAUCUUCAAAUAAAGUCUUUUCUAUGGUAGCACCAUGAAUAGCGCAUAGCAAAGCAGCACCUAAUACACCGACAACUCCCACCAUAUGAAAUGGGUUUAGCAUCCAAUUAUGAAAUCCUUGAAAAAAGAGGAUGAAUCGAAAUAUAGCUGCUACGCCAAAACUAGUGCAAAGAACCAACCAGACUGACCUAAUGGAUAAAUCAGGAAUACAGAAACAAAAACAGCAAUUAGACCAGAGAAUGCGAUUGUAUUAUAGGGUUACGAUUGAACAGAUCGAGCAAGUUCGAAUUGAUGUAACAUGAAACCUAUUAGUCCGAAAGCGCCAUGGAGAACAACAAAAGUCCACAGACCGCCUAAUUGACACCAACAAGUAAAAUCUCCUUGUGUUUCAGGACCCACAGUAACAAUAAAGAAUACUCUAAAUUAUUAGCAAAAGUAGAAACUGUGACUGUUAAGAAAUUACAGCCUUCCAAAUAGGAACUGGCCAAUCCAUCGGUAUACUAUGAAGGUACAAAGGUUGUACCUGUGAACCAAUCCCCUACAACGAAAUAGGUAUAAGGAAAGAGCAAUAGACAGGACCAGCCAAAAAAAACA